UGUAGAACAUGUUUUGGAACUGCUGGCUUUUUGCAUAUCCAGGACUAGGUCUGCAGA
ensembl:miRNA